UUGGAAUGUUCUUGACGACUUAGACUCUUAGAGAGUUACCUAGACUGGAACUGAGGUUAAUGACCUGCUCUAAGUCAUAUUUGUAUAAUGAAGACACACAAAAGGAGCUUCUACUUUGUCCUGAAUCCCAGGAUAACUUUGCUGAAACCCAGAGAUAAGGAGCAGUUCUGAUGAACUCUAGCAUGGAUUAUCUCCUUUACCAGUCCCUGCAGCUGGUUCCUAAGCAACCAGAUGAGAUUCUGGACCAUAACAAAGUCUCAAAAGAGGAUUCACUUAGAUUCAUUGAUCCUGCAAGAAGACAGGUUAUCUGGGCUCAGUGGAUAGAGAGUUGGACCUGGAAUCAGGAAAGUAAAAAUUCAAAUCUUGCUUCAGACAUCAGACUCUGGAUCACAUAUCUGCAAGAAUUGCUUUAGGUUCUGGGCAACCUGGUCUGAUCAACUGGAGAACAUCUGGAGAAGGACAACCAGAAAUGUGAAGACACUUGAGUACAU
rnacentral:lncRNA from 1 species